AAUGGGGGAAACCCUGAUGCAGCGACGCCGCGUGGAGGAAGAAGGUUUUCGGAUUGUAAACUCCUGUCGUUAGGGACGAUAAUGACGGUACCUAACAAGAAAGCACCGGCUAACUACGUGCCAGCAGCCGCGGUAAAACGUAGGGUGCAAGCGUUGUCCGGAAUUACUGGGUGUAAAGGGAGCGCAGGCGGGAAGACAAGUUGGAAGUGAAAACCAUGGGCUCAACCCAUGAAUUGCUUUCAAAACUGUUUUUCUUGAGUAGUGCAGAGGUAGAUGGAAUUCCCGGUGUAGCGGUGGAAUGCGUAGAUAUCGGGAGGAACACCAGUGGCGAAGGCGGUCUACUGGGCACCAACUGACGCUGAGGCUCGAAAGCAUGGGUAGCAAA
rnacentral:rRNA from 1 species